rnacentral:tRNA from 1 species
GGGGAUUUAGCUCAGUGGUAGAGCGCUUGCCUAGGAAGCGCAAGGCCCUGGGUUCUGGGUUCGGUCCCCAGCUCCG